AUUGUACUCCUUCCGCCCGAAAAAACUUGUCCCAAGCUUGUCCCUCAAAUGGAUGUAUCUAGCACUAAAUUGGUGCUAGAUACAUCCAUUUGAGGGACAAACUUUUCCGGACGAAGGGAGUACUAC
rfam:Triticum aestivum genome assembly, contig: Triticum_aestivum_CS42_TGACv1_scaffold_642525_T_6DS-0.290766_7DS-0.185419